CCUACGGGGGGCUGCAGUAAGGAAUAUUGCGCAAUGGGCGCCAGCCUGACGCAGCGACGCCGCGUGGGGGAUGAAGGUCUUCGGAUUGUAAACCCCUUUCGGCAGGGAAGAUGGAACGGGUAACCGUUCGGACGGUACCUGCAGAAGCAGCCACGGCUAACUUCGUUCCAGCAGCCGCGGUAAUACGAAGGUGGCAAGCGUUGUUCGGAUUUACUGGGCGGGCGGGUAGGGGAGGCGGUAGGGUCACCGUGAAAUCUCCGGGCCUAACCCGGAAAGUGCGGAGGGGACUGCUCGGCUAGAGGAUGGGAGAGGAGCGCGGAAUUCCCGGUGUAGCGGUGAAAUGCGUAGAGAUCGGGAGGAAGGCCGGUGGCGAAGGCGGCGCUCUGGAACAUUUCUGACGCUGAGGCUCGAAAGCGUGGGGAGCAAACAGGAUUAGAUACCCCAGUAGUC
rnacentral:rRNA from 1 species